AGAGCAGUGAAAUGAUAAGAUAACUAAUGAGAAGUGAGAAAAGUUGCUGGCCUACGGUGUGUGGUGAACGCAUGUCCUCCCUAAACAUCAAAAUACUUAACUCAGUAUAUAGUUACUAGAUGUUUCUGGUAUUGAGGAGUUCAUUACUUUGUGUGUUCCUUAUUUUUAUCAUGCCUGCCGGGGCUGGACCAAGACUGAUGUCAUUUCAGUGUGAGACUAUGACAGAUGGCCUCUCAACUUGGGGCUUCUGACAGAUGGAGCCGGACAUGGAGCUAGUACAGGUGGAGUACAUGACGGAUGCCACAGAGGAAUAUCACACCACAGGUGUACAGGAGGAAAAUGAAGCUCUGUGAUUUCCUGAACAUUUGGUACACUCUGUGGAGCAGAGGAGUAUCAUACCUGAUGAUACUAUAGCUUCUAAGGCCAUCCCAGAGGAGUUGGACUGAGAGAUUGCUGAGUCUGUGUUUCUGAACCUCUGAUGUCAUCAUCUUCCAGUCUGAGAAGGGAAGGAGAUCAUUGUGAUACUUGGUGAUUUCUGAUUUCAUGAUAGAACUGCUACAAAUAUUUCCAGACCUUAGAGAGUCCUAUUUACUCUGAAACAGGCACAAGAACAUUGAAUGUUUGGCCAUAUAUCCACAAAAAAAUAUUGAGAUGCGGCACUCAUUUUGGCCAGUAUAGUAUUUGUCUGCUAUUGAUAUGGAAAGCCUGAAAAACAGGUGCCUCAGAUGCUUUCCCGCUGGAGAAAAAGGCUCAUUGAAGAACUGAACACUAUUGAAGACAUAGUGAGCAACUAAACCCCUUUCUUUGUACAACAAACCUCAUUGGAGGCACUGAUGAAACAUCCCAUAUUGUUGUGGUGGAAUAGGACAAAAGAUUUGCUGAUGGUACUGUAGCAGCUUAAACCUAUUUUUGAAAAUUUGAAGUCCCAAUACAAUGAAACCAUAGGAGAGAAAAAGUCUCAUAGCUCACCCAACGCAGAAAAAAAAAUUUCUUUUUUUUUUUGAUUAGACUGAAGUUAAGAGAAUUGUAAUUUGACAAAUUGUGUGUUAAUGGUUAAUGUUCGUACUAGAAUUAUGGUAUGGACCUGUUAAUAUUUGCAACUACCUUGUUCACUAUGAAGAUGUUGCAGAUUAGAAAAAUGUUAGAGCUUAUCUGAGAAAAAUUUGACAUGAUGCAAACAAGUCCUUCGAUUUGGUACAUUUAAUAAAAUCAAUUUGGAUUUUGAUGCAUCUAAAAACUGUUCAAGAUAUCCUAGACCAUUUUAAAUAGGCUAUUCCAUCUUGACCAUCCUCUACUCUUUAGUUAGAGAUUUGGUGGCCAUGGGACCAUGUGUAUUGCAGAAUAUUAUCUGCUGACUUAUGACUAUCUCGUUAUUUGUGGAUUCUCUAAAUGGAAAGUUGGCUCAGAGAUUCAUGACAUCUAACUAUAUACUCUCCCUUAACUCUUAAACAGAAGAUAGCAGUCAAUGAUGGGUAAGAUAUCUUUCUCUCCAGGCCAUCUAAGACAGGACAUGAAUGAGAGAAUGUAUGUACCUAUGAUUGGCAAGUUUGGAAUGCGGAAGAAGGUAACCUAAUCCAGGCACAGUUGUCUGUUCAGUAGCAGAAGAACCGGUUUUAAUAAAAAAAUAUGAAAAGGAAUAAUAUGCUGGAACCCACAGAAGUGAAUUUGUUUCACUUUUACCAAAGAUCAGGCCUAUUCUUGUUCCUUCAAGGUUAUGACAGGAGAUUUGACCCAGGGUGUGACUACCUACAGUAUGCUCAGUGUAGGGAAUGGUUGCUGUACGUCCUGCCUAAACAAGAGAAAACUUAGCUCAGAAUAUAGUUACUUGAUGUUUCAAGUAUUGAAGAGGUAAUUACUUUCUUUGUUCCAUGUUUGUAUCAUGGUAAAGAAGUUUUGCCUUCUUCCCUUUUUUGGAUUGGAAUAUAUAAGGCAUAUGGAAA